UCCCAACAGGUGGACCACAGGAGCCUUCUCCUCGCGGCCGGGCCCGGCUCCGCCGAGUCUAAUCAAGAUCCGUAGAACCGAAGCCCACCCUGCACUAGCCGGCUCCCCACUGUCCUGGGCCAGACGAGAGGAGGGGAACCCAACAUGGAGAGGUGGAUAUCCCUACUUGGUCCGGCUGCCGCUUAUUAUCAACGGAGCCUCUGGUUGUACGAGGACCCGAGACCUGGACCUUCCUGAUUCUAGUCCCCAUCCCACCUCCAGACUCCCACGACAACUUCACUCAGUUUGGUGAGAGAUUUGCAGAGGGCAGAAAAAUGGCCAGCUAUCUUGAAUUAGAAUGUGGAAGAGAGAUGUGUUUUGGUAAGAAAGUAGACGCCACCUAGAAAAGAGGGACGAGUGGAGUAAGGAAAUAGUACCCAGAGCCCCUGGGAGGCAAGGAGCAGGUGACUACCUAGAUUCUACCCCUGUUUCUUUAGUUCCUUGAGGUGUGGAUGAAGCAGGAUAGUAAGAAGUUAGGAGAAUUUCCUGGCAAGAGGAAUGAAGGAAUCGAAGACAAAAUAAUUAAACAAGGCCGAGCAAUUAACAGAUUGCUAAUACAUUGCAAGGUUUUAUCUUCCCUAACCAAGGACCUUAGGGGCAUAUAGUUUAUACCUCUCUUCCUCAACCGAAGAGUAAGUAGCUUGAAUCACCUAGAUUUGGGAGAUAGAGACCAGAGACCCAGUUGAUGUCAUUAGUGCCAGCUAAACCCCAGGAUGGAAAAAUUUAGGGAAAUAACAAAAAUGCUCAAUUAAAGCCAGACAAAUCCAAGAUAAAAGUAAAGCAGUGUAGCUGACCAGAGAAUGAUCCCAAACUUCCCUAUAACCUCAUUUUGAUGCAUCAGCAUAUUAAAGAACACACCUGGAAAGCUAAUAUCUUGUUGAGAUGCUCCCCCCUAAAACUCUGGGCCCUGUGCACUCUGUCUCUCUCUUUCCCUCAGGGGUGCACUUUCUGCCCCUACACUCUAAGGGACCCCACUAGACUUGCAAUCAGGGGAGCAGCGGGCAGCAACAGCUCAUCCAGGGCUAACCUAUUUCUAAGGACUUUACUUUUGCCUCUGUAAUUUCCUUUCCUGAGUCCAUACAACUCCUGUUACAGUAACCUUACCUCUUCUAUCUUAAGCCUUUCCUUUGUUUAACUGUCCCUAGCUUUAAUAAAUGUACUCUCAAAAUCA